rnacentral:ncRNA from 2 species
AAGGGAAGCCGGUGAGAUGCCGGCGCUGACGCGCAACCGUGAGCCGGGCCAUCUGGCCUGAUGAGCCGGGAUACUU